UUAAGUUCAGCGGGUAUUCCUACCUGAUCCGAGGUCAACAUUUCAGAAGUUUGGUGUGUUUUACGGCGUGGCCGCGCCGCGCUCCCGGUGCGAGUGUGCAAGCUACUGCGCAGGGGAGGCUGCGGCGAGACCGCCACUGGAUUUCGGGGACGGCUCCCCGCCCCUCGCAAGGAGGGCCGGGGGGCUGCCGAUCCCCAACG
rnacentral:misc_RNA from 1 species